rnacentral:rRNA from 1 species
AGUAAAAGUCGUAACAAGGUUUCCGUAGGUGAACCUGCGGAAGGAUCAUUACACUCAGUAGUUUACUACUGUAAAGGAGGCUGUUAGUCUGUAUAGCGCAAGCUCAUGAGCAGCUGGCCUCUUUUAUCACCCUUGUCUUUUGCGUACUCACGUUUCCUCGGUAGGCUUGCCUGCCGAUUGGACAAACCUAUAACCUUCAAUUUUCAAUCAGCGUCUGGAAAACUUAAUAAUUACAACUUUCAACAACGGAUCUCUUGGUUCUGGCAUCGAUGAAGAACGCAGCGAAAUGCGAUAAGUAGUGUGAAUUGCAGAAUUCAGUGAAUCAUCGAAUCUUUGAACGCACAUUGCGCCCCUUGGUAUUCCAUGGGGCAUGCCUGUUCGAGCGUCAUUUGUACCCUCAAGCUCUGCUUGGUGUUGGGUGUUUGUCCUCUCCUUCGUGUUUGGACUCGCCUUAAAAUAAUUGGCAGCCAGUGUUUUGGUAAUGAAGCGCAGCACAAGUCGCGAUUCUUAUUAAAUACUUGCGUCCACAAGCCUUUUUCACUUUUGACCUCGGAUCAGGUAGGGAUACCCGCUGAACUUAAGCAUAUCAAUAAGCGGAGGAAAAGAAACCAACAGGGAUUGCCCCAGUAACG